GCCUGGCCGACCCUUCUCUUCUUGGUGCAGGAGAUGGGAGCUUCUCACAAAAGGAUAUUUAUGACCUACUUUUAGGUAGAUCAGAAGAGAGCAGAGAACUCUUCCUUCAUCUGUUGAUUCUCAAUUGCCUUCAGCUCAAAUUCUUUUGGUAAAGUAGUAAGUUUUCAGGUCUUAUCACCUUCAUUUGGAAAUGAAGGGCAACAUGAUACUUAACGCCAAAUUGUUCUCCAGAAAAAUGGUACCAGUUUCUAUCUUUGUGAGUGCAUGAAUCUUUGGGAAAUUUUAGCCUUGCAUAAAUUGACAGUAAAUAGUUGAAAAAGAUAAGAUUACAAAGAUAAAAGGAAAACCAAAAUCUUAAAUGUUACCAAAACUUUACUGGUAUGAUGUUCUUAACUCCAAACCUCCAAUAAUUCAGACAGACACCUUGGGAAAGCAGUUUAGAUUGACUUGUAGGGAAAUGUGAUCCGGUUUUCAUUUGUGGCCAUAAUUAGGGCCUCCACUGGGGCAUAGUUUUCACUUUUCAUUGUAAGAGGAUCCAGCACCUGCCUCUCACACUCAUGAGGUAGGCACCCUUCGAAUUUCCUUCUGAGCAAGGGAUUCACUGCUUUCAGUGUUUAGGGUGGGAAGACAGAAUGGCAAAAUGGAGGAGAUCCUAAAUUUUUUCUGGGUCCCUUUAUUUUGCUGGGUUUUGCUAGAGAAACAUUUGGUCAUGUGUCAUAGUGCCUAGAAGUUACCCUCUCCAUAAUGCCUACUCCUUUAAAUAACAGCCAUUAAAAGAUAGACUUGAGUACAUUAAAUGUUUUUAAGAGUCAGUUUGAAUAUUCAGCAGUUCAUGAAUUGAGCAGCACCAGACCUCAAGCAGUUGGGCUCCACUAAGGGAGGUGCAAGGAGAUGCCAGGGGUAACCUUUGAUAAGGUGUUCCAGGAAGUAAGACAAAGAAAAUAUUUGAUUGGUUAAAGUGGAAGGUCCUUUGUUUGAAGCAGUCAGCAGUUUCUGGUUGGUAAAGUCUCUUAGAUGUUAGUUGGUGGUUUCUGAUUGCUUAACCUUAAGUUUCAUUUUCCUGGGCUAUGAUCAAUCACUCUGAGUUGAGUUUUGGUUUGCUUAGGUAGGAACCCAAGGUGCUGGAGCCAUCUCAACUUAAUAGUCUCCCAGUUGAUUAUUUUAACAGAGCUGUAUCCUAUAAAGACAGGGUAACACACAUUGAAUUUACUUCCUUCAGACAUUUAGAAUGGACUUAAGGUCUUGAUUUAAAAGACCAUUGGAGGAGACAAGAAAUCUGGAUGAUCCUUCUUUUUGAAGAAAAGUGCUGUCUUAAACUUCUGUUAAAUUAAUAAUCUGGUGGUGGUGGUUGGGGGGUGUUUUGUUUUGUUUUCCAAAGAACCAAUUCAGGCAUUGGAAACCCUAAAUGUUGAUCUUGUGAGCUGCGGGAAGGAGCACUCCCUGGCUGUGUGCCACAAAGGAAGGGUCUUCGCAUGGGGAGCUGGUUCUGAAGGGCAGCUGGGGAUUGGAGAAUUCAAGGAAAUAAGUUUCACACCUAAGUGAAGAUACAGCAAGAAGGCAUCUACUUGCAAACCAAGAAGAGGGCCCUCACCAGGAACCGAGUUACUCGCUUCUUCAUCUUGAACUUCCUGGUCUCCAGAAGAGUGAGAAAUAAGUUUCUUGUUCUUGACAUCACCUAUUUCAUGUUAUUUUUGUUACAGCAACUCAAGUUGACUAAGGUACACUUGUAUGGAACUCUUUUAUCACAGGCUCUAGUCUUGGAUAAAAACUAUGCUAACACAGUAAAUGAUUUUCUCUCCGUGACUUUUUUUGAUGAGGUAGAUCUAUAUGUGUAUAUGUUGAUAUAUGGAAAUAUCUUUCCAAAAGAUGUUAUUUUGUGCAAAAAGUAAGUUGCAGAACUGUUCUAUUGUAUGCAUAAAACCAAAACGUUAUAAAGGAAACUUAGUAGUGGUAAUUUCAGGGGAGAAGGAGAUGAGGAAAGAAAGACUUCCUAAUUUUCAUUUUAUUAUUCUCAGCACUGCUUGAAUUUUUGAAAUGCAUUUAUAUAUUCCUUUAAACAUAAUUUGAUUUUUUGGGGUGUUGAGAUUGUGGGUCACUUUAAAUUUCUCUAUUAUUAUCUAUACACAAAAGUACCAUAGUGUUUAUAAAAAAUAACAACUUUAACAGUCAAAGAAACCCUCUUUUGUCGGGAACUAUUAAAGGUGUUCAAUAAAUGGUUUAGUUAAAACAGUACAUGAGGUCCCUAUGUUUAAUCCCUCCAGGUAGUGAGCUUCUAUGUUAACCCAAUUAUUUCACAUUAACAGAAGUAGGGAGAUAUUCCAAACUCCAAGAAUCCAUGCCCAAAGACAGCAGACUUCCGUCAGUCAUUGUGCUGGCUGGGAGUCCAUUCUCUUAACAUUAUGUUAAACCUGGGAGUACAUGGAAGAAUUACCUGGAACCAUGGUCCAGAAUCUUGCUCUUGUCCUCUGUUACUUUUCAUGUAUUUCAAAUUAACAUACAACCCCUCAACAAUACAGCACCAAGAUAAUGUGAAUCCUGAUAAAAAGCAAUCGGCAAUUGGUUACUACUAUUUUCUCAAAGGAGGUCAGGUAAAAGAUCUUAUCUUGGAAAUGUCAGACAACAUUGUGUGGUGAAGCAGGUGAUAAGGUGAAGGGUGGCUCCCUGCAUCUUCAGUAUCUUCCUAGCCUAAUCUCCCACAGUUACAACCAGAGAAAUGGGGAUCAAAUAAACAGAGCUGGGGUUUCUUUGAGCCUGUCCUGGAAAUCCCCUGACCACAGAGAUAGUUAAGCUGUUGUGGACUGCUGCCACCAGGUGGCAGCAAACUGAGUUGGGACCAGGAUGGAUUUAGAUUCUGCUUCCAGAUCUCUCUUGUCAAUUGGAUACACAGAUCCAACAAGCAACUCAUUAACCUCGAAUAAUGCAACCCUGCAUUUUACCCUUGACUUCUUAAAACCCCACGCAUGUAGUUAUGGCAAGAUUUUACUCUCGUAAGAUGUCUCUAAUAUUCCAGAUGAUCUCUCAAUAAUGCUAAUUUCUGUUAAAACCAGAAAAGAAACUAUAUUAAUCUAUUAAAUAAUUUGAGUUUUCAACAUUAUUUGACUGCAGUUGUAAGGAAUGGGGGAGACAGACCAAGAAGCUACCAAUGCUUUUUGAAAUCAUUUUUUUAUAACAAGAAAAAAGGUGAAUUUUAGAAACUACACGCCUUCCCAAAUUACAGGAACAUAUGGUAAGCAAGUUUAUGUCCUACAAUUUUAAUUGCAAAUCCAAGUGUCCUUGCCAAGUUUUCCAUGUUGUCAGUGAGGAACAGAGAUGACUGUGGCUAAGACAUUGUGUCCUUCAGGUGCUGUGGGCCAUGACCACUGUACUGUUUGCAUUUUGACACGUGGACACUAGCAAGGCUCGGUAUUACAGUCAGUAUUGAAGUCUGUGAAUAUCUGGAAUACUAAUAUCAGUCAGUAGAUUAGUGGAUACCUAAUAUAUUGCAUCACUUUUUGCUCAUCUCAAUAUGAAUUUAGUGUCCCCCAAACUUCCAGCUUAUUUUUGUGGUUAUUAGAGACAUGAAAGCAUGCAAUUAGAUCAAAAUCUUAUUAACGCAAUAAAAGUUCAAAAUGUGGUGUAAAUAUUAAAAAAAAAAAAAAA